rnacentral:rRNA from 1 species
GAUGAACGCUGGCGGCGUGCCUAAUACAUGCAAGUCGAGCGAACGGACGAGACGCUUGCUUCUCUGAUGUUAGCGGCGGACGGGUGAGUAACACGUGGAUAACCUACCUAUAAGACUGGGAUAACUUCGGGAAACCGGAGCUAAUACCGGAUGAUAUUUUGAACCGCAUGGUUCAAAAGUGAAAGACGGUCUUGCUGUCACUUAUAGCUGGAUCCGCGCUGCAUUAGCUAGUUGGUAAGGUAACGGCUUACCAAGGCAACGAUGCAUAGCCGACCUGAGAGGGUGAUCGGCCAAACUGGAACUGAGACACGGUCCAGACUCCUACGGGAGGCAGCAGUAGGGAAUCUUCCGCAAUGGGCGAAAGCCUGACGGAGCAACGCCGCGUGAGUGAUGAAGGUCUUCGGAUCGUAAAACUCUGUUAUUAGGGAAGAACAUAUGUGUAAGUAACUGUGCACAUCUUGACGGUACCUAAUCAGAAAGCCACGGCUAACUACGUG